UGGCGUACAGGACGAACGCUGGCGGCGUGCCUAACACAUGCAAGUCGAGCGGAGACAUGCGACGGAGUUGAAGUUUUCGGAUGGAGACGAAGAUGUAUGUUUAGCGGCGGACGGGUGAGUAACGCGUGAGCAACCUGUCCUUCACAGGGGGAUAACACAGCGAAAGUUGUACUAAUACCGCAUAAGACCACAGCGGGACAUCCCGCAGGGGUCAAAGGAGCAAUCCGGUGAAGGGUGGGCUCGCGUCCGAUUAGAUAGUUGGUGAGGUAACGGCCCACCAAGUCAACGAUCGGUAGCCGACCUGAGAGGGUGAUCGGCCACAUUGGGACUGAGACACGGCCCAAACUCCUACGGGAGGCAGCAGUGGGGAAUAUUGGGCAAUGGGGGGAAACCCUGACCCAGCAACGCCGCGUGAGGGAAGAAGGUUUUCGGAUCGUAAACCUCUGUCCUUGGUGAAGAGGAAGAGACGGUAGCCAAGGAGGAAGCCCCGGCUAACUACGUGCCAGCCGCGGC
rnacentral:rRNA from 1 species